AUCUGGCUGUGACAUCUCUCACCCUAUUUAUCGCCAGGGUUGAUUCAGCUGAUCUGGCUGGCUAGGCAGGUGUCCCGUU
rnacentral:sRNA from 1 species